rnacentral:rRNA from 2 species
GACGAACGCUGGCGGCGUGCUUAACACAUGCAAGUCGAACGGAAAGGCCCUGCUUUUGUGGGGUGCUCGAGUGGCGAACGGGUGAGUAACACGUGAGUAACCUGCCCUUGACUUUGGGAUAACUUCAGGAAACUGGGGCUAAUACCGGAUAGGAGCUCCUGCUGCAUGGUGGGGGUUGGAAAGUUUCGGCGGUUGGGGAUGGACUCGCGGCUUAUCAGCUUGUUGGUGGGGUAGUGGCUUACCAAGGCUUUGACGGGUAGCCGGCCUGAGAGGGUGACCGGCCACAUUGGGACUGAGAUACGGCCCAGACUCCUACGGGAGGCAGCAGUGGGGAAUAUUGCACAAUGGGCGGAAGCCUGAUGCAGCAACGCCGCGUGCGGGAUGACGGCCUUCGGGUUGUAAACCGCUUUCGCCUGUGACGAAGCGUGAGUGACGGUAAUGGGUAAAGAAGCACCGGCUAACUACGUGCCAGCAGCCGCGGUGAUACGUAGGGUGCGAGCGUUGUCCGGAUUUAUUGGGCGUAAAGGGCUCGUAGGUGGUUGAUCGCGUCGGAAGUGUAAUCUUGGGGCUUAACCCUGAGCGUGCUUUCGAUACGGGUUGACUUGAGGAAGGUAGGGGAGAAUGGAAUUCCUGGUGGAGCGGUGGAAUGCGCAGAUAUCAGGAGGAACACCAGUGGCGAAGGCGGUUCUCUGGGCCUUUCCUGACGCUGAGGAGCGAAAGCGUGGGGAGCGAACAGGCUUAGAUACCCUGGUAGUCCACGCUGUAAACGGUGGGUACUAGGUGUGGGGUCCAUUCCACGGGUUCCGUGCCGUAGCUAACGCUUUAAGUACCCCGCCUGGGGAGUACGGCCGCAAGGCUAAAACUCAAAGGAAUUGACGGGGCCCCGCACAAGCGGCGGAGCAUGCGGAUUAAUUCGAUGCAACGCGUAGAACCUUACCUGGGUUUGACAUGGAUCGGGAGUGCUCAGAGAUGGGUGUGCCUCUUUUGGGGUCGGUUCACAGGUGGUGCAUGGCUGUCGUCAGCUCGUGUCGUGAGAUGUUGGGUUAAGUCCCGCAACGAGCGCAACCCUUGUUCACUGUUGCCAGCACGUUAUGGUGGGGACUCAGUGGAGACCGCCGGGGUCAACUCGGAGGAAGGUGGGGAUGACGUCAAGUCAUCAUGCCCCUUAUGUCCAGGGCUUCACGCAUGCUACAAUGGCUGGUACAGAGAGUGGCGAGCCUGUGAGGGUGAGCGAAUCUCGGAAAGCCGGUCUCAGUUCGGAUUGGGGUCUGCAACUCGACCUCAUGAAGUCGGAGUCGCUAGUAAUCGCAGAUCAGCAACGCUGCGGUGAAUACGUUCCCGGGGCUUGUACACACCGCCCGUCAAGUCAUGAAAGUUGGUAACACCCGAAGCCGGUGGCCUAACCGUUGUGGGGGAGCCGUCGAAGGUGGGACUGGUGAUUAGG